rnacentral:rRNA from 1 species
UACAGAGGGGGCAAGCGUUAUUCGGAAUUAUUGGACGUAAAGGGCGCGUAGGCGGCAUGGCAAGUGGAUGGUGAAAUCCCUCGGCUUAACCGAGGAACUGCCGUCCAAACUGCUUCGCUUGAGACCGGGAGAGGUGAGUGGAAUUCCCAGUGUAGCGGUGAAAUGCGUAGAUAUUGGGAGGAACACCAGUGGCGAAGGCGGCUCACUGGACCGGUACUGACGCUGAUGCGCGAAAGCGUGGGGAGCAAACGGG